rnacentral:rRNA from 1 species
CAGUAGCCGCGGGAAUACAGAGGGUGCGAGCGUUAAUCGGAUUUACUGGGCGUAAAGCGUGCGUAGGCGGCUAAUUGAGUCGGAUGUGAAAUCCCCGAGCUUAACUUGGGAAUUGCAUUCGAUACUGGUUAGCUAGAGUGUGGGAGAGGAUGGUAGAAUUCCAGGUGUAGCGGUGAAAUGCGUAGAGAUCUGGAGGAAUACCGAUGGCGAAGGCAGCCAUCUGGCCUAACACUGACGCUGAGGUACGAAAGCAUGGGGAGCAAACAGGAUUAGAGACCCCUGUAGUCCCUGUCUCUUAUAC